rnacentral:rRNA from 1 species
UCCAGACUCCUACGGGAGGCAGCAGUGGGGAAUAUUGCACAAUGGGGGAAACCCUGAUGCAGCAACGCCGCGUGAGUGAAGAAGUAUUUCGAUAUGUAAAGCUCUAUCAGCAGGGAAGAAGAUGACGGUACCUGAGUAAGAAGCCCCGGCUAACUACGUGCCAGCAGCCGCGGUAAUACGUAGGGGGCAGGCGUUAUCCGGAUUUACUGGGUGUAAAGGGAGCGUAGACGGCAUAGCAAGUCUGGAGUGAAAGGCGGGGGCCCAACCCCCGGACUGCUCUGGAAACUGUGUAACUUGAGUGCAGGAGAGGUAAGCGGAAUUCCUAGUGUAGCGGUGAAAUGCGUAGAUAUUAGGAGGAACACCAGUGGCGAAGGCGGCUUACUGGACUGUAACUGACGUUGAGGCUCGAAAGCGUGGGGAGCAAACAGGAUUAGAUACCCCGGUACG